UUUUUUUUAGCUUAAGGUUAAGAGCGUUAGUUUGAAGGUCUAAAGGUACUUUAGGGUAAAAAGAU
rnacentral:tRNA from 1 species